UUUCGCGCCUCCGCCCCUGGGUUGGCGGACAGGGGAAGGAGCGAAGAUGGCGGAGUGAGGCGUGCCCCGGGCAGCUGGCCUGCGGGCCCGGGGCAGGCCUCCCGUGAGAAGCGGAGUACUUGUGCUGGACCGUGUGAGGAUCCAUAUCACACAAGAUGAAUAUUUUCCUGACCUUAGGUGCUUUUAUAUUCAGCUCAACAUUCUGAACUCAGGACUUGGCACGAAUUCCUAUGUGGACUGCUCAGUGAGGCGUCCUGGUUCUUCCAUCCUGUUACUUUCCCCAGCGAGAUGCAGAUGUCUUUCGACAGAUUACCUCCAUGGUUUAGGAUGCAGAGACUGCCUUUCUUUUACGUCAGACUCAACACAGGAAAGCCGUGAGGAUGCAGCCGUCCUGUUGACUUCAGCAAGAAAACAAACCAUUGACUUGGGUCUUCUGCAGCUUUUGAAUUGGAAAGACGGUGUUUGCAAGUAGAAGGAAGAUGCUGAAUUUGAAACAAGUGCUUAGGUUCUGUGGCGUGAGUUGUUUUCUUUUUAAAAGAUCCAAACAAGAAGACUGAACAAAUACCAAGUGUGGGUGACUUCAGGUUUUUUUUUUUAAUGUCUUCCAAUUUUAACACUAUUAUAAGCACAGUUGACCGCAGUAAGUUCCAAAUAUUUAAUAUAAUUUGAAGUGAAAGAAAUGUUAUCUAAAUUCUGGCUCACUCUUUGACAGUUUUCCUGGACAAAAACAAGAUACGAUAAAAGCAGAAACCAGGUUUGGUUUUGUAUGGGAGUGAAAUCAUUACAGUUUUAUGGGUAUAAAUCUACAUUUUUAAACAAGAUUUUUCUCUUGGAGAAGAAACCUGUUGUUUAUAAGAAGGCUUUGGACAGUUUAAUAGUCUUAAAUGUUCUGCUUUGCUGUUCUAGUCCUUCUCAGGAAGGCCCAGCUGGGCCUGUGGCUAGUUCAGAAUGGGAGGAAACAUAGGCUGGGACAAUGCUCACCCUGAACUGCCAGCGUGUGGGAGGCCAAGGCAGGAAGAGCAGAUGUUCAGGGCCAGCUUGGACAUCAAGAGGCUCAAAACCAGUAGGAAAAAAAACAGAGCCCAGUAACACCCUCUUUUAUAUUCCUUUUGUGGAAUCAUGUAGCAUGUGAGACUGGGUUGGAAGGGAACUGGCAUAUGUGGUAUUUCAGUUAAGGUGAUGUGGUGGACCCUGAUGUGUAACUGGCCUUCACCUUUGGACAUACAGGAAUGAAGGAAAAACUAAGGCUUGGCAUAUAAAUCUUUUCUUCUAAGAAAAAGAAGCAAAGCUGUCUAAUGUAGCAUUGUCUGACUUUUCAACAUUUUUACUUUAUGUGGUUGCAUUUUUUUAUAAAAGUAUAAAUAAGUUCCUUCAACCCAAAA
ensembl:lincRNA 1700020I14Rik RIKEN cDNA 1700020I14 gene